ACUCCUACGGGAGGCAGCAGUAGGGAAUCUUCCACAAUGGGCGAAAGCCUGAUGGAGCAACGCCGCGUGGGUGAAGAAGGUCUUCGGAUCGUAAAACCCUGUUGUUAGAGAAGAAAGUGCGUGAGAGUAACUGUUCACGUUUCGACGGUAUCUAACCAGAAAGCCACGGCUAACUACGUGCCAGCAGCCGCGGUAAUACGUAGGUGGCAAGCGUUAUCCGGAUUUAUUGGGCGUAAAGGGAACGCAGGCGGUCUUUUAAGUCUGAUGUGAAAGCCUUCGGGCUUAACCGGAGUAGUGCAUUGGAAAACUGGGGAGACUUGAGUGCAGAAGAGGAGAGUGGAACUCCAUGUGUAGCGGUGAAAUGCGUAGAUAUAUGGAAGAACACCAGUGGCGAAAGCGGCUCUCUGGUCUGUAACUGACGCUGAGGUUCGAAAGCGU
rnacentral:rRNA from 1 species